GUGGGGAAUUUUGGACAAUGGGCGCAAGCCUGAUCCAGCAAUGCCGCGUGCAGGAAGAAGGCCUUCGGGUUGUAAACUGCUUUUGUACGGAACGAAACGGUCCGGGUUAAUACCCUGGGCUAAUGACGGUACCGUAAGAAUAAGCACCGGCUAACUACGUGCCAGCAGCCGCGGUAAUACGUAGGGUGCAAGCGUUAAUCGGAAUUACUGGGCGUAAAGCGUGCGCAGGCGGUUUUGUAAGACAGGCGUGAAAUCCCCGGGCUCAACCUGGGAAUUGCGCUUGUGACUGCAAGGCUGGAGUGCGGCAGAGGGGGAUGGAAUUCCGCGUGUAGCAGUGAAAUGCGUAAAUAUGCGGAGGAACACCGAUGGCGAAGGCAAUCCCCUGGGCCUGCACUGACGCUCAUGCACGAAAGCGUGGGGAGCAAACAGGAUUAGAAACCCGAGUAGUCC
rnacentral:rRNA from 1 species